GAGAGAGAGAGAGAGAGAGAGAGAGAGAGAGAGAGAGAGAGAGAGAGGAGAGAGAGGGUUUCAAUCGGAUCCAUCGUGGCCAAAAUGGGUUGGAUCGAGUUGGAACGGGAAGAUCUUCACUCGAAUGAUCGUGGGGGAAGAACCCUCAUCAUAGCAAUCAUAUCAUGAAAUAGAACGACAGCAAGAACACCACGGAGAUCCCAAAGUCUACAGCUAGUGGGGAAACAAGUCGCUUCCAAAUGAGGGAAGGGCGGCGGCGGCAGGGGGGUUGACUUACAAAAAAGGACAAAAGAGGCAGUUCCUACUUACAGAGGCCGGCGGCUGGAGAGAUGAAGCUGAGGGCAUAUCAUCAGAUGACUGCCAGAGAUGCGGCGAUCGUCACCAGGAAGAGGGGAAGGGAGGAAGACGGGCGCCAUGCGUGCGCACUCGGCGGCUGGGCGGGCGGCGGCGAGGUGGUGUCCAGCGGCGAUAUGGCGGCGUUCGGCGAGGCGGGGGGCAGCGGCGGCUCUACGACGUCGGCCUCCGUUAGAACUGGACUUGGCGGCGCCGCCGGCAAAGCGUCAGAAGGAAGUAAGCUGAACAAGGCCCCAGGCUGGACGGGAAACAUGUAUGGGGGCAUGUCCUUGCCAAGAUUCAAGCAAAGGUUUCCUGCAUCACAAUAGCAAGAUGA
rnacentral:lncRNA from 1 species